UGUAAAAUACAGAAUACAGAAUGUAGAAUAUAGAAUGUAAAAUAUAGGAUACAGAAUGUAAAAUAUAGAAUAUAGAAUGUAAAACAUAGCCUGGCGGAUUUCCUGGAAAUCUACGACAGCUACGACGACAUCAAUGGCUUUGUGGGGAGGUAAAGUAGAAUGUAAAAUAUAGAAUACAGAAUGUAGAAUAUAGAAUGUAAAAUAUAGGAUACAGAAUGUAAAAUAUAGAAUAUAGAAUGUAAAAUAUAGAAUGUAGAAUGUAAAACAUAGCCUGGCAGAUUUCCUGGAAAUCUACGACAGCUACGACGACAUCAACGGCUUUGUGGGGAGGUAAAGUAGAAUGUAAAAUAUAGAAUACAGAAUGUAGAAUAUAGAAUGUAAAAUAUAGGAUACAGAAUGUAAAAUAUAGAAUAUAGAAUGUAAAAUAUAGAAUAUAGAAUGUAAAACAUAGCCUGGCGGAUUUCCUGGAAAUCUACGACAGCUACGACGACAUCAACGGCUUUGUGGGGAGGUAAAGUAGAAUGUAAAAUAUAGAAUACAGAAUGUAGAAUAUAGAAUGUAAAAUAUAGGAUACAGAAUGUAAAAUAUAGAAUAUAGAAUGUAAAAUAUAGAAUGUAGAAUGUAAAACAUAGCCUGGCAGAUUUCCUGGAAAUCUACGACAGCUACGACGACAUCAACGGCUUUGUGGGGAGGUAAAGUAGAAUGUAAAAUAUAGAAUACAGAAUGUAGAAUAUAGAAUGUAAAAUAUAGGAUACAGAAUGUAAAAUAUAGAAUAUAGAAUGUAAAACAUAGCCUGGCGGAUUUCCUGGAAAUCUACGACAGCUACGACGACAUCAACGGCUUUGUGGGGAGGUUUUGUGGAGAUGAAUUGCCAGAUGACAUCAUUAGCACAGGUAAUUUAUUUGCACUUUUUGGGGGAAAUAAAAAAGCCAAUUAAUGACUUCUAAUUAAAUGUAAGUCGGCCUAAUUGGAGAGAAAUUAAAAAAAAAAAAACUUCAAACCCCCAAAAAUGUAUCUGGGAAAAAAUUUUAAACCCCCCAAAAAAUACCUGAAAAAACUUUAAAACCAGAACAAUGUAUCUGAAAAAAACGCUUAAAACCCAAAAGAUGUCUGAAAUAAAUUUGAAAAACUAAAAUUAAAUCUGAAAAACCCCAUUAAAACUCAGAAAAACACAUUUAAAAAGUUAAAACUAAAAAAAUAUAUAUGAAAAAACUUAGACUCCCCAAAAAUGUAACAGAAAAAACCUUAAAAUGCAAAAAAAAUCUGAAAAAAGUUAAAAUGCAAAAAUAAACCUGAAAAAUACUCUUAACUUCUAAAAAUAGAUCUGAAAAAGCUUAAACACAAAAUAUAGCUGAAAAAACACAAAAAUAUAUCUUAAAAAAAACCUUAAAAACCCCAAAUAGAUCUGAAAACCCCAAACAUAGAUCUGAAAAAACUUAAAUACCCAAUAAAUAUAUUUGGAAAAAGAUCUUUAAACCCAAAACACACCUGGAAAAAAAAAAUUAAAACCGAAAAAAAUAUAUCUGAUGAAAGAUAAAAACCCAAAAAUAUCUAAAAAAAAUACCUUAACUUCUAAAAAUAUAUCUAAAAAAAACCCUUAAAAAUAUAUCUGAAAAAUCUUAAAAACCCAAAAAAUAUACCUGAAAAAACCCCAUAAAAAACCCAAAAACAUAUCUGAAAAAACAUAAAGACCCAAUAAACAUAUUUAGAAAAAGGCCUUAUAACCAAAAACACACCUGAAAAAGAAAUUGAAAACCAAAAACAUAGAUCUAAAAAACGUUAAAAAAAAACAAAAAGAGAUCUGAAAAAAAGCCCCUUAAAAUUCAAAAAAAUGUAUCUGAAAAAACUUAAAAAACCAAAACAUAGAUCUGAGAAAAACCCUUAACUCCUAAAAAUAGGUAUGGAAAAAAAAAAAAAACCCUUAAAAAUAGAUCUGAAAAAAACCUUAAAAACCCAAAAACACACCUGAAAAAAACCCUUUAAAACCCAAAAAUAGAUCUGAAAAAAACCUUUAAAAACCCAAAAACAGAUGCGAAAAAACCCAAAAAUAGAUCUGAAAAAGCCCUUAAAAACCCCAAAAUAGAUCUGAAAACACCAAAAACUACUCUAAAAAAACCGUAAAUACCCAAUGAACAUAUUUAGAAAAAGCCCUUAAAACCCAAAACCCACCUGGAAAAAAUUUAAAAACCCUCCCCAAACCUAUGGAAAAAAUCCCAAUUUUGUGGCGCUGUUCCCUUUUGCUGGCACAGGGAAUGUGAUGACGCUCAAGUUCCUGUCGGACGCGUCGGUCACAGCCGGAGGGUUCCAGAUCCGCUACAGCACCCUGGACACUGCCAGGGACAGGAAUGGCACAUCCCAAGGGAAAAACAACUUUUUGUCAGGAAAA